rnacentral:rRNA from 1 species
UGGGGAAUAUUGCACAAUGGGCGCAAGCCUGAUGCAGCCAUGCCGCGUGUGUGAAGAAGGCCUUCGGGUUGUAAAGCACUUUCAGCGAGGAGGAAGGUGGUGAACUUAAUACGUUCAUCAAUUGACGUUACUCGCAGAAGAAGCACCGGCUAACUCCGUGCCAGCAGCCGCGGUAAUACGGAGGGUGCAAGCGUUAAUCGGAAUUACUGGGCGUAAAGCGCACGCAGGCGGUUUGUUAAGUCAGAUGUGAAAUCCCCGGGCUCAACCUGGGAACUGCAUUUGAAACUGGCAAGCUAGAGUCUCGUAGAGGGGGGUAGAAUUCCAGGUGUAGCGGUGAAAUGCGUAGAGAUCUGGAGGAAUACCGGUGGCGAAGGCGGCCCCCUGGACGAAGACUGACGCUCAGGUGCGAAAGCGUGGGGGGCAAACAGGAUUAGAUACCCUGGUAGUCCACCGCUGUAAACGAUGUCGAUUUGGAGGUUGUGCCCUUGAGGCGUGGCUUCCGGAGCUAACGCGUUAAAUCGACCGCC